UCAACUUUACUCAUCGGGCUGCCCACACUUCUGCGCUCCCCGUGUGAUCCACAGCGCGCAGGCUGUCUAGAAAGGCUCCAGGAAUAGACGCUGUUUCAUAAUACAUCAGCAUGGGUAACAUACGUCCUGGAGGAUGACAUCGGGCCGCUUGGAUUUCGAUCGUAGCCAAAAGCGUCGGCUGCGUCUGGCGGGUAACGGGAAUAGCUCACAGAAGAGCCUGCGGCAGUGGAAAGGGUGCAUCUGUCAUCCAGGCCAGCAGGUGGCGCUACUCCUUUACGGCAGUUGGUUUGCAUUUUCCAUGAAAGAAGCUUGGGAUGUCAAGAAUUUGGCCAGACAAACGUCACAGGCAAAAUUAGAUGGACAGGAAGGGUACAUGUGCUGGAGGGGGAGUGGCUUCUGAAAAUGGCUUCGACAUUCACGGUCCUCCAGUAAACUGUCACACUGCAAAAGGCUCGUUACGUAGGACACUGGAAAAUAUGUUUUCCUGUUCCGUCACUCUCUUCAGUGAAGAGUAACAAAACGAAGAUUUUAAGCUGCAAGGAAAGCUUCGUGAGUCUGAAAAUGCAGGUGGGACCUUUGACUGUCGAAUCAAUCGAUAGUUGUUGAGGCUUGUAUUUACGGCUUUGGGAAAUCAAAUCAGAUUUUCUUAGACAUGCUGCAGAUCAUUCCAGAAUGUGCCCUCAAAUGAAAGCAAGUGGAAAAAUGAGCAGACGACUCUACAGACCUUGGUGGUUAAUUCCCUCAUUAAUAGGAGUGUUGCUCUGUUUGGACAGGGAUGUAUGCGCACGAUUGUCUGCUGAUGGGGCAGCCGUUCGGAGUCCCAGUGGAGACCUGCUUAGCGGAGAUGGAGGCGAGGAGGUCGGAGGCCAGCCUCUCGUCUGUGUUUCAUCACAGGCCUUCACGUUGACAGGCCGCAUUAGGCAGUGUAGCUUAAUAAGCUCCUCCAUGCUGCAGCCUGAUAUUAGCGUGACAGCUUUGCGUGUGCCUGCGCUUUAGAGCAUGAACAUGUGAGUCUGCGUGUGCCUGCGCUUUAGAGCAUGAACAUGUGAGUCUGCGUGUGCCUGCGCUUUAGAGCAUGAACAUGUUAGUCUGCGUGUGCCUGCGCUUUAGAGCAU